GACGAACGCUGGCGGCGUGCUUAACACAUGCAAGUCGAACGGAAAGGCCCUGCUUUUGUGGGGUGCUCGAGUGGCGAACGGGUGAGUAACACGUGAGUAACCUGCCCUUGACUUUGGGAUAACUUCAGGAAACUGGGGCUAAUACCGGAUAGGAGCUCCUGCUGCAUGGUGGGGGUUGGAAAGUUUCGGCGGUUGGGGAUGGACUCGCGGCUUAUCAGCUUGUUGGUGGGGUAGUGGCUUACCAAGGCUUUGACGGGUAGCCGGCCUGAGAGGGUGACCGGCCAGAGUGGGACUGAGAUACGGCCCAGACUCCUACGGGAGGCAGCAGUGGGGAAUAUUGCACAAUGGGCGGAAGCCUGAUGCAGCAACGCCGCGUGCGGGAUGACGGCCUUCGGGUUGUAAACCGCUUUCGCCUGUGACGAAGCGUGAGUGACGGUAAUGGGUAAAGAAGCACCGGCUAACUACGUG
rnacentral:rRNA from 1 species